UACGAAGGGGGCUAGCGUUGCUCGGAAUUACUGGGCGUAAAGGGCGCGUAGGCGGAUGUUUAAGUCGGGGGUGAAAGCCCGGGGCUCAACCUCGGAAUUGCCUUCGAUACUGGACAUCUUGAGUACGGGAGAGGUGAGUGGAACUCCGAGUGUAGAGGUGAAAUUCGUAGAUAUUCGCAAGAACACCAGUGGCGAAGGCGGCUCACUGGCCCGGUACUGACGCUGAGGUGCGAAAGCCAGGGGAGCGAACGGG
rnacentral:rRNA from 1 species